rnacentral:tRNA from 1 species
GCAUUUGUGGCCGAGUGGUCGAAGGCACCGGACUCAUAAUCCGUCUCCCGUAGGGACAUCACUGGUUCAAAUCCAGUCAAAUGCA